CCUUAAAUACAACCGUGCCGUGCCUUGCACCGUCAACCUUUCGGAACCCCAAUAAAAACUGUCGUGCGGAACGACCAACAAGGGUCGGCCGCGAUGAACCUGCCGGCUCUCACAAUCACACGGUGCCACCACGGGCUCAACACCAUCGCUUUUCUUCUCCGGGGCUCGGCAGAUGGAUGGUUCCGAUGAACUCCAAGUAUCGCGUGAACAUACCUCUGGGCUUGGAGUCGCUGCUGGAGGGUCUUGCUGGAGCUGUUUUGAGGGAGCAGCCGGUCGAUAUCUACCGAUUCGCAGCUGAGUACUUCGAAAAACUCCUCGCAUCUAGAGAUGAAGACUGACAACAGCGCAGCGCCGGCCAAAACAGCGGUUUUCUCGCAUACCCCGUUUUCGUCCUGAAACUUUGAAAUGCUGUCAAAAGGGCCGAAUUUUGGGCGUUCUUUGCGCCAAAUGAUGCAGAACUAAUCCGUCCGAGCUUUGGUUUCCCCCACCGUACGCCACACUUUGCCUGGCUUCGUCACAGACAGAUAACCCAAGUCGGAACCACGUAUCUCUGUUUCCUACGUUGCAGACUUCCUCGAUACUUUAUUUUUUCCUUGGAAAACUAUCUAAGGUAAUUACUUGAAAACUUCUUGAAUUUUUCUUCUUUGUUAACUGAAUGCUCUGUAUAAAUUUCAAGCUAAAAAGUUGACUUGUUCUUUUUCGAACACAUAAAAUAGGAGCGACAUUUUUGAAACAUCGCAGUAGAGAGAUACGUGCACUGAAAGAAAAGCUCCGGCU
rnacentral:lncRNA from 1 species